rnacentral:rRNA from 1 species
UGGGAAAUAUUGCACAAUGGGCGAAAGCCUGAUGCAGCAACGCCGCGUGAGUGAUGAAGGCCUUCGGGUUGUAAAGCUCUGUCUUUUGGGACGAUAAUGACGGUACCAAAGGAGGAAGCCACGGCUAACUACGUGCCAGCAGCCGCGGUAAUACGUAGGUGGCAAGCGUUGUCCGGAUUUACUGGGCGUAAAGGAUGCGUAGGCGGAUUUUUAAGUGAGAUGUGAAAACCCUAAGCUUAACUUGGGGACUGCAUUUCAUACUGGAAAUCUAGAGUGCGGGAGAGGAGAAUGGAAUUCCUAGUGUAGCGGUGAAAUGCGUAGAGAUUAGGAAGAACACCAGUGGCGAAGGCGAUUCUCUGGACCGUAACUGACGCUGAGGCAUGAAAGCGUGGGUAGCAAACAGGAUUAGAUACCCUGGUAGUCCACGCCGUAAACGAUGAGUACUAGGUGUAGGAGGUAUCGACCCCUUCUGUGCCGCAGUUAACACAAUAAGUACUCCGCCUGGGAAGUACGAUCGCAAGAUUAAAACUCAAAUGAAUUGACGGGGUCAUAGCUG